rnacentral:rRNA from 1 species
UACGGGGGGGGGCAAGCGUUGUUCGGAAUUACUGGGCGUAAAGGGCGCGUAGGCGGCCUGCUAAGUCGGAUGUGAAAUCCCUCGGCUCAACCGAGGAACUGCAUCCGAUACUGGCGGGCUUGAAUCCGGGAGAGGGAUGUGGAAUUCCAGGUGUAGCGGUGAAAUGCGUAGAUAUCUGGAGGAACACCGGUGGCGAAGGCGGCAUCCUGGACCGGUAUUGACGCUGAGGCGCGAAGGCUAGGGGGAGCAAACGGGG